rnacentral:rRNA from 1 species
UACGUAGGGGGCAAGCGUUGUCCGGAAUUAUUGGGCGUAAAGAGCGUGUAGGCGGUCCGGUAAGUCAGCUGUGAAAGUCAAGGGCUCAACCCUUGAAUGCCGGUUGAUACUGUCGGGCUAGAGUCCGGAAGAGGCGAGUGGAAUUCCCGGUGUAGCGGUGGAAUGCGCAGAUAUCGGGAGGAACACCAAUGGCGAAGGCAGCUCGCUGGGACGGUACUGACGCUGAGACGCGAAAGCGUGGGGAGCAAACAGG